rnacentral:rRNA from 1 species
GAUGAACGCUGGCGGCGUGCCUAAUACAUGCAAGUCGAGCGAACGGACGAGAAGCUUGCUUCUCUGAUGUUAGCGGCGGACGGGUGAGUAACACGUGGAUAACCUACCUAUAAGACUGGGAUAACUUCGGGAAACCGGAGCUAAUACCGGAUAAUAUUUUGAACCGCAUGGUUCAAAAGUGAAAGACGGUCUUGCUGUCACUUAUAGAUGGAUCCGCGCUGCAUUAGCUAGUUGGUAAGGUAACGGCUUACCAAGGCAACGAUGCAUAGCCGACCUGAGAGGGUGAUCGGCCACACUGGAACUGAGACACGGUCCAGACUCCUACGGGAGGCAGCAGUAGGGAAUCUUCCGCAAUGGGCGAAAGCCUGACGGAGCAACGCCGCGUGAGUGAUGAAGGUCUUCGGAUCGUAAAACUCUGUUAUUAGGGAAGAACAUAUGUGUAAGUAACUGUGCACAUCUUGACGGUACCUAAUCAGAAAGCCACGGCUAACUACGUGCCAGCAGCCGCGGUAAUACGUAGGUGGCAAGCGUUAUCCGGAAUUAUUGGGCAUAAAGCGCGCGUAGGCGGUUUUUUAAGUCUGAUGUGAAAGCCCACGGCUCAACCGUGGAGGGUCAUUGGAAACUGGAAAACUUGAGUGCAGAAGAGGAAAGUGGAAUUCCAUGUGUAGCGGUGAAAUGCGCAGAGAUAUGGAGGAACACCAGUGGCGAAGGCGACUUUCUGGUCUGUAACUGACGCUGAUGUGCGAAAGCGUGGGGAUCAAACAGGAUUAGAUACCCUGGUAGUCCACGCCGUAAACGAUGAGUGCUAAGUGUUAGGGGGUUUCCGCCCCUUAGUGCUGCAGCUAACGCAUUAAGCACUCCGCCUGGGGAGUACGACCGCAAGGUUGAAACUCAAAGGAAUUGACGGGGACCCGCACAAGCGGUGGAGCAUGUGGUUUAAUUCGAAGCAACGCGAAGAACCUUACCAAAUCUUGACAUCCUUUGACAACUCUAGAGAUAGAGCCUUCCCCUUCGGGGGACAAAGUGACAGGUGGUGCAUGGUUGUCGUCAGCUCGUGUCGUGAGAUGUUGGGUUAAGUCCCGCAACGAGCGCAACCCUUAAGCUUAGUUGCCAUCAUUAAGUUGGGCACUCUAAGUUGACUGCCGGUGACAAACCGGAGGAAGGUGGGGAUGACGUCAAAUCAUCAUGCCCCUUAUGAUUUGGGCUACACACGUGCUACAAUGGACAAUACAAAGGGCAGCGAAACCGCGAGGUCAAGCAAAUCCCAUAAAGUUGUUCUCAGUUCGGAUUGUAGUCUGCAACUCGACUACAUGAAGCUGGAAUCGCUAGUAAUCGUAGAUCAGCAUGCUACGGUGAAUACGUUCCCGGGUCU